rnacentral:rRNA from 1 species
GUGCUUAACACAUGCAAGUCGAACGGAAAGGCCCUGCUUUUGUGGGGUGCUCGAGUGGCGAACGGGUGAGUAACACGUGAGUAACCUGCCCUUGACUUUGGGAUAACUUCAGGAAACUGGGGCUAAUACCGGAUAGGAGCUCCUGCUGCAUGGUGGGGGUUGGAAAGUUUCGGCGGUUGGGGAUGGACUCGCGGCUUAUCAGCUUGUUGGUGGGGUAGUGGCUUACCAAGGCUUUGACGGGUAGCCGGCCUGAGAGGGUGACCGGCCACAUUGGGACUGAGAUACGGCCCAGACUCCUACGGGAGGCAGCAGUGGGGAAUAUUGCACAAUGGGCGGAAGCCUGAUGCAGCAACGCCGCGUGCGGGAUGACGGCCUUCGGGUUGUAAACCGCUUUCGCCUGUGACGAAGCGUGAGUGACGGUAAUGGGUAAAGAAGCACCGGCUAACUACGUGCCAGCAGCCGCGGUGAUACGUAGGGUGCGAGCGUUGUCCGGAUUUAUUGGGCGUAAAGGGCUCGUAGGUGGUUGAUCGCGUCGGAAGUGUAAUCUUGGGGCUUAACCCUGAGCGUGCUUUCGAUACGGGUUGACUUGAGGAAGGUAGGGGAGAAUGGAAUUCCUGGUGGAGCGGUGGAAUGCGCAGAUAUCAGGAGGAACACCAGUGGCGAAGGCGGUUCUCUGGGCCUUUCCUGACGCUGAGGAGCGAAAGCGUGGGGAGCGAACAGGCUUAGAUACCCUGGUAGUCCACGCUGUAAACGGUGGGUACUAGGUGUGGGGUCCAUUCCACGGGUUCCGUGCCGUAGCUAACGCUUUAAGUACCCCGCCUGGGGAGUACGGCCGCAAGGCUAAAACUCAAAGGAAUUGACGGGGCCCCGCACAAGCGGCGGAGCAUGCGGAUUAAUUCGAUGCAACGCGUAGAACCUUACCUGGGUUUGACAUGGAUCGGGAGUGCUCAGAGAUGGGUGUGCCUCUUUUGGGGUCGGUUCACAGGUGGUGCAUGGCUGUCGUCAGCUCGUGUCGUGAGAUGUUGGGUUAAGUCCCGCAACGAGCGCAACCCUUGUUCACUGUUGCCAGCACGUUAUGGUGGGGACUCAGUGGAGACCGCCGGGGUCAACUCGGAGGAAGGUGGGGAUGACGUCAAGUCAUCAUGCCCCUUAUGUCCAGGGCUUCACGCAUGCUACAAUGGCUGGUACAGAGAGUGGCGAGCCUGUGAGGGUGAGCGAAUCUCGGAAAGCCGGUCUCAGUUCGGAUUGGGGUCUGCAACUCGACCUCAUGAAGUCGGAGUCGCUAGUAAUCGCAGAUCAGCAACGCUGCGGCGAAUACGUUCCCGGGGCUUGUACACACCGCCCGUCAAGUCAUGAAAGUUGGUAACACCCGAAGCCGGUGGCCUAACCGUUGUGGGGGAGCCGUCGAAGGUGGGACUGGUGAUUAGGACUAA